rnacentral:tRNA from 1 species
UCGGGAUAGCUCAGCUGGUAGAGCAGAGGACUGAAAAUCUCGUGUCACCAGUCAAU